GGCUUGGUAGCUCAGUUGGUAGAGCACUUGAUUGAAGCUCAAGGUGUCGGCAGUUCGAUUCUGCCCCAAGCCAC
rnacentral:tRNA from 1 species